UACGUAGGGUGCAAGCGUUGUCCGGAAUUAUUGGGCGUAAAGAGCUCGUAGGCGGUUUGUCGCGUCUGCUGUGAAAACUCAGGGCUUAACUCUGAGCUUGCAGUGGGUACGGGCAGACUUGAGUGCGGUAGGGGAGAUUGGAAUUCCGGGUGUAGCGGUGGAAUGCGUAGAGAUCCGGAAGAACACCGGUGGCGAAGGCGGCGAUCUGGGUCGAUACUGACGCUGAGGUGCGAAAGCGUGGGGAGCGAACAGGA
rnacentral:rRNA from 1 species